rnacentral:lncRNA from 1 species
AUGGCAUUUGCCAAGCGGUGCCACGUGCACACCCAGGAUCCAAACCAGCGAACCCCGGGCUGCCGAGAAGCAGAACGUGCAAACUUAACCGGUGUGCCACCGGGCCAGCCCCAGAGAUCAUCUGCUCUUAAACAGCAGACCAGACUGACUCUCCAUUGCAAAGGAACCAGGCAGGGAGGCAUUCUGAGACCAACUUAGCUGUUGUUUCUCUUCAAUGAGUCUUCAACUUUAUACUUAAGAAUCAAGCAUUUCGCUGGAAUAUGUCUACAUUAAGUAUCUCCAUUUAUUUUCCUGAGUCAUGGUGAGUCUCCUCAAUUUCUAGAUCUGAAACUUUUUCAAUAUCUAGAUUUAAAACCUUUUAGAUGAGAAAUGCUUUCUUCUCCUGUACCUUUAUUACUUAAGUCACUUUGUUUAGAUUUCCUCUUAUUUGUAUUAUUUAUAGCUUGUACAUUUAUUCUUUUUCCUUAAUUAUUUUCUUCCUCUCACGAUUUACAUGGUUUAGCCUUUGCUUUAGCAUUAGAGUGCUUUUCAUGUCUGUUCUGUACACUGAUGAUUCAAAUUUUCUGCAAUUUUGAGUAGGCUCUUUUGGUGUCUCUGAGAUUGACUACUGCAGUUUUAUUUGGGGGCAAUUUCUUCCUAUAGUAUUGUUUUCCUUCUCAUUUCAAUCUUUGUUUAUUGUUUAAUCUCUUCUCAUCUAUAAUUUAUCCCGUCAUGUCAGGCUCUUCUUGUGUAGAGACCAUGUUCUCUUAAAGACUAAGACAUUCCUUCCUUCCUUUUGGGGUACGUUUUAAGCCCUGUGUUUUGUUGUUUGUGGCUCAUUCUCGAAUGAAGAAAUGUCUUGCUCCUUGUUUAUGGAAUGUUCUGAAUGGGUGAAUUUUUCCUAAUUUCCUUUUAAUCCAUUACUGGUCAAAUCCUUAUUUUCACUGUUACCUUUUAACAUGUUUAUCAAAGGCUGACUGCCAUGGAACUCAAGCAAUGCUGAAAGGUCUUCCAAGGCAGCAGCUGGGGAAAACAAAAGAAACUUGAAGUGAAACCAACAGGACAAAGUGUUAUUGCAGAGAGACAAUAUUUAUAUUCAGUCAGUUUUUUUGGGCAGUGGGGACAGAGGUAAGGGAGCUGGGCAUCUCAUUCCUUAUCUUAGUUUUGCCAUCAGCUUUCUAUUUCGACUUUCAGUUUUUCUGAAGUGAAAUAGGAUUUC